rnacentral:rRNA from 1 species
CUGCCCUGUGCUGGGGGAUAACCUCGCGAAAGUGAGAACAAUACCCCAUGGGUCACUAUGCCUGGAACGGUUAGUGGCUGAAAGCUCCGGCGGCACAGGAUGGGUCUGCGGCGUAUCAGGUCGUAGGGGGUGUAACGUACCUCCUAGCCUUCGACGCGUACGGGUUGUGAGAGCAAUUGCCCGGAGAUGGAUUCUGAGACACGAAUCCAGGCCCUACGGGGCGCAGCAGGCGCGAAAACUUGACAAUGCGAGAAAUCGUGAUCAGGGGACUCCAGUUGGCUGGAUCAAAAGUCCAGUCUGAACCGACUUUAAAUCGGUCGGGUAAUAGGGGCGGGAAAGACCGGUGCCAGCCGCCGCGGUAAUACCGGCGCCCCAAGUGGUCGUCACUAUUAUUGGGCCUAAAACGUCCGUAGCCGGUUUGGUAAAUCCGUGGGUAAAUCAGACAGCCCAACUGUCUGAAUUCUGCGGGGACUGCCAGACUUGAGACCGGGAGAGGUGCGGGGUACUUGCGGGGUACCGGUAAAAUGGGAUCAUCCCGUAGAGACCACCUGUUGCGAAGGCGCCGCACUAGAACGGAUCUGACGGUCAGGGACGAAGCCUAGGGGCACGAACCGGAUUAGAUACCCGGGUAGUCCUAGGUGUAAACGCUGUGGACUUGGUGUCGGGGACCUUCUGAGGGUUUCCGGUGCCGGAGUGAAGAUGUUAAGUCCACUGCCUGGGGAGUACGGUCGC